rnacentral:rRNA from 1 species
AGUGAACGCUGGCGGUAGGCCUAACACAUGCAAGUCGAACGGCAGCACAGUAAGAGCUUGCUCUUACGGGUGGCGAGUGGCGGACGGGUGAGGAAUACAUCGGAAUCUACUUUUUCGUGGGGGAUAACGUAGGGAAACUUACGCUAAUACCGCAUACGACCUACGGGUGAAAGCAGGGGAUCUUCGGACCUUGCGCGAUUGAAUGAGCCGAUGUCGGAUUAGCUAGUUGGCGGGGUAAAGGCCCACCAAGGCGACGAUCCGUAGCUGGUCUGAGAGGAUGAUCAGCCACACUGGAACUGAGACACGGUCCAGACUCCUACGGGAGGCAGCAGUGGGGAGUAUUGGACAAUGGGCGCAAGCCUGAUCCAGCCAUACCGCGUGGGUGAAGAAGGCCUUCGGGUUGUAAAGCCCUUUUGUUGGGAAAGAAAAGCAGCAGGUUAAUACCCCGCUGUUCUGACGGUACCCAAAGAAUAAGCGCCGGCUAACUUCGUG